ACACACCUCAACUCUCGUGGUUUGCUACGACGAGCUUGGACUUUGGGGGUUUUGCUGGCCUGUGGUCGGCUCCUCUCAAACGAAUCAGCUUCCCAGCGUUUGGUGGAGUCACAGGUGUGAUAACUAUCUACGCUUGUGGUCUUUACCAGAUAACCUUCGGGUUCGCUGGGGCUCAUAAAUGUCUUUCCUCAGUGAAGACAGCUUUUGAAC
rnacentral:misc_RNA from 1 species